ACGGCCGCAAGGUUAAAACUCAAAUGAAUUGACGGGGGCCCGCACAAGCGGUGGAGCAUGUGGUUUAAUUCGAUGCAACGCGAAGAACCUUACCUGGUCUUGACAUCCACGGAAGUUUUCAGAGAUGAGAAUGUGCCUUCGGGAACCGUGAGACAGGUGCUGCAUGGCUGUCGUCAGCUCGUGUUGUGAAAUGUUGGGUUAAGUCCCGCAACGAGCGCAACCCUUAUCCUUUGUUGCCAGCGGUCCGGCCGGGAACUCAAAGGAGACUGCCAGUGAUAAACUGGAGGAAGGUGGGGAUGACGUCAAGUCAUCAUGGCCCUUACGACCAGGGCUACACACGUGCUACAAUGGCGCAUACAAAGAGAAGCGACCUCGCGAGAGCAAGCGGACCUCAUAAAGUGCGUCGUAGUCCGGAUUGGAGUCUGCAACUCGACUCCAUGAAGUCGGAAUCGCUAGUAAUCGUGGAUCAGAAUGCCACGGUGAAUACGUUCCCGGGCCUUGUACACACCGCCCGUCACACCAUGGGAGUGGGUUGCAAAAGAAGUAGGUAGCUUAA
rnacentral:rRNA from 1 species